GGCUGGCUGGCCAAAUGGUAAGGCGUCGGACUCCUAUCAAGAGCGUAAUCCGAAGAUUCUGGGUUCGAGUCCCAGGUUGGUCG